GCCAGAGGGUGCAAACGUUGCUCGGAAUCACUGGGCGUAAAGGGCGUGUAGGCGGGCAGGUAAGUCGGGCGUGAAAUCCCUGGGCUCAACCCAGGAACUGCACUCGAAACUACUUGUCUUGAGUGUCGGAGAGGAAAGCGGAAUUCCUGGUGUAGAGGUGAAAUUCGUAGAUAUCAAGUGGAACACCAGUGGCGAAGGCGAGUCUCUGGACAUUUCCUGACGCUGAGGCACGAAAGCCAGGGGAGCAAACGGG
rnacentral:rRNA from 1 species